CUCACCGCCAGUUAUUGGAACGGAAUAACUACAGUGGCAGUCCGCGCAGCGGUAAAUCGGAUGCAUUUAAUUGAUUUUAAACGUCUAAAUACUCUCUAUUUCUGUAUGUGAUUGUCCCCGCAUGUCUAACGCCACACGAGUGUGAAGCUGGAAAAUCGUUGUAACGGUUUAGAAAAAGCUACAACUGUGACUCAGACGCCCCUUUAGGCGCGUUGCUACUGUUUGUAUUAGCAUCGGGUGCUAACGGAACAACCGUCUUUUUAUAGCCAGAUUCUCCUCAAGCCAAUUCUGAUGUGUUAAUAAAACCACGGAGACAGCCAUGACUUCACUGGGGAGCAGCAGUAGUUCCUCGAGCACGGAAUACACCGUGCGGGUCCCCAAAAACAACAGCAAGAAGUACAAUCUCAUGGCUUUCAAUUCGGGAGACAAAGUCAACUGUUCAACCUGGACACAGGCUCGUAUGGAGAGAGACAUGAGUGCCCGACGGAUAUAUGGGGAGGAAGAAGCGGCGGAAGGUGCGGCUGGCAGUGAGUUUGGCAAAAAGCAGCGCGAGGAAUCACGCCGGAAGAAGUAUGGUAUUGUGACUCGGGAGUUCAAAGUGGAGGACCAGCCCUGGAUUCUAAAAGUCAAUGGCAAGGCCGGCAAGAGGUUCAAAGGUAUAAAAAAGGGCGGUGUUACAGAAAAUGCCUCCUACUACAUCUUUACACAGUGUCCCGAUGGAGCUUUCGAGGCUUUUCCCGUCCACGGCUGGUACAACUUUACACCGCAGGCCAAACACCGAACUCUCACUGCUGAGGAGGCUGAGGAGGAGUGGGGCAGAAGAAACAAGGUGGUGAAUCACUUCAGCAUCAUGCUUCAGAGACGUUUCCGGGAGCAGGAGCGUGGUGGUGAGGACGAUGACGAUGAGAAUGAUAAGUCGGGGAAGAAGAAAAAGAAGGGGGGCAGGAAAGGUGGAGAUCUGCGCAUUCACGACCUGGAGGAAGACUUGGAGAUGAGCAGCGAUGACAGUGACAGCAGUGUGGGGGACGAUGGAGAGGCAAAGACAAAGGGAAAAAAGGAUUCGGGGAAAGGGAAAGCAAAGAAGAAGAAAAGAAAGAGCAGUGACAAAGAUGCCCUGGAGGACAGCGAUGACGGUGACUACGAGGGUCUAGAGGUGGAUUACAUGUCGGAUGAAAGCAGUUCAGACGAAGAGCCGGAAAAGGCAAAGCAAAGCAAAGGAGAGGAUCAUCCCAAAGGGAUCGAUGAGGCAUCUGAAAGUGAGGAAGAGAGUGAGGAGGAGAAACCGAACGAAGAGGAAACGAAAGAGGAGGAGGAGGAAGAGGAAGGAAAGAAGACGCCGGUCCAAACGGAAAAGAAGAAGAAAAAAGACAGCAGCGGCGAGUCGGAAACCUCCGACGACAGUGACAUCGACGGAGAGACCGCCUCCGCUCUGUUCAUGAAGAAGCGCACGCCCCCUAAACGUGGUGGGCGCGGCUCUGCAGGCAGCUCCAGGACUGGCAGUCGCCCCGGCACACCGUCCAUCGACUCGGCCUCCACCUCCAGUACACUCCGCGCUGCUGCCAGCAAGCUAGAGCAAGGUAAGAGACCGACUGCAGGUCCUAGCACUGACUCCCCGGCUGCCAAAAGGCUCAAAAUGGAGCCCAGCAGUCAGAGCCCAGCCCCCUCUGGGAAGACCACGCCCCAACCGCCAUCAGGCAAAUCCACUCCUAGCUCCAGUGAUGUGCAGCUGACAGAGGAAGCAGUCCGGCGGUACUUGAUCCGUAAACCGAUGACCACCAAAGACCUGCUGAAGAAGUUCCAGACCAAGCGCACGGGUUUGAGCAGCGAGCAGACCGUCAAUGUGCUGGCGCAGAUCCUGAAACGCCUCAAUCCGGAGCGCAAGAAUGUCAACGACAAAAUGCACUUCUACCUCACUGAAUAAGCAAUGAAGCCGAGAGGUGUGGAGAGACGGGGGGGCGAGGAGGGAGAGAACGCCACGGUCUAUGCUGAUUUAGCAACAAAAAAUAUUUUUUACUACUAAGUAUUACGCAUCCCAAACUUUUUUUUCAUUCCCUGAAAUCUUGGUCUGAAAUCUCCCAUCAGAUCGUAGAACAUUAAGUGAAUUUCUAGUUUUCCCUCAAAGUGUGAACACUUUAACAUUAAACUUGAGGUUAUGGAAAGUUUUUGUUUAGUUUUCUGUAAGAUUUUCAAAUAAAAGGGUUCGCUCUCUG